rnacentral:lncRNA from 1 species
UUUGCAGCCCAAGUUUCGAAGGGGCAGUUGGGAGACAUCUUUAGGCUUUCUGCAACCAAGCCACCGUCUUCCACACAGCAAGCGACAGUUACUCAGUGGAGGAAUAAGCCUUCAGUUGCAUACCACUCUGUGCAUUGGAUGGGAGGAUUUUGAAACUUUUGGAAGUUCCAUACUUUGGCUUUAUUCUAUGAAUCCACCAGCGCUGUGCACCAAAGUUUCUCUGUGGAGGCAGAACAUAUUUUUGCAGAGCAAGUACAGAUAAGAGGUUGGGUGCCUGAAGCCUGGAUAAUAAUAGAAUGACAGCUGAUGAUUCAUCAGUGCUCUUCAGAGCCAGCUGAUAAUACGUUGCCAGCCUUUCCCCUUUGCUCAGACAGAACAGCCACCCUCACCCACGGGGAUUCCUGCCCAGAAGGAAUUUCCACAGCCCUGUACCAAGCAUGCUUAAAGUGUGUGAGCAUUAGCUCAGAGAUAGUUCUCAUGUUAAA